rnacentral:rRNA from 1 species
GGAUUGGGAGGGUUCUAUGGAACCCGUUUGGUGAAUCUAGUGCCGAGAAAAGCCUUCUAUGUGUUGAAUUUCUAGUACCCGUACCCCAAACCGACACAGGUGGGUGGGUAGAGCAUACAUAGGGGCGCGUGAUAACUCUCUCUAAGGAACUCGGCAAAAUGGCCCUGUAACUUCGGGAUAAGGGGUGCCUGCGUGAGCAGGCCGCAGUGAAAUGGCUCUGGCGACUGUUUACCAAAAACACAGGUCUCUGCUAAGUCGUAAGACGAUGUAUAGGGGCUGACUCCUGCCCAGUGCCGGAAGGUUAAGGAAGUUGGUUAGCGCAAGCGAAGCUGGCGACCGAAGCCCCGGUGAACGGCGGCCGUAACAAUAACGGUCCUAAGGUAGCGAAAUUCCUUGUCGGGUAAGUUCCGACCCGCACGAAAGGAGUAACGAUCAGAGCGCUGUCUCGGAGAGAGACACGGCGAAAUAGGAUUGUCCGUGAAGAUACGGACUACCUGCACCCGGACAGAAAGACCCUAUGAAGCUUUACUGUAACUUGGAAUUGUGUUCGGACUUUGUCUGCGCAGAAUAGGUGGGAGGCUAUGAAACGUUCCUCGCGGGGAACUGGAGCCAUCGUUGAGAUACCACUCUGGCAGAGUCUGGAUUCUAACCUACGGGGACAGUUCCAGGUGGGCAGUUUGACUGGGGCGGUCGCCUCCUAAAAUGUAACGGAGGCGCGCAAAGGUUCCCUCAGGCUGGUUGGAAAUCAGCCAUAGAGUGUAAAAGCAUAAGGGAGCUUGACUGUGAGACCUACAAGUCGAGCAGGGACGAAAGUCGGCUUUAGUGAUCCGACGGCACUGAGUGGAAGGGCCGUCGCUCAACGGAUAAAAGUUACUCUAGGAUAACAGGCUGAUCUCCCCCAAGAGUUCGCAUCGACGGGGAGGUUUGGCACCUCGAUGCCGGCUCGUCGCAACCUGGGGCGGUAGUACGUCCCAAGGGUUGGGCUGUUCGCCCAUUAAAGCGGCACGUGAGCUGGGUUCAGAACGUCGUGAGACAGUUCGGUCCAUAUCCGGUGUAGGCGUAGGAGCAUUGAAAGGAUCUCUCCUUAGUACGAGAGGACCGGGAGGGACGUACCUCUGGUGUACCUGUUAUCGUGCCAACGGUAAACGCAGGGUAGCCAUGUACGGAGUGGAUAACCGCUGAAAGCAUCUAAGUGGGAAGCCCACCUUAAGAUGAGUGCUCCCUUGAGGCCACGGGAAGACGACCCGUUUGAUAGGCGCUAGGUGGAAGUGCAGUAAUGCAUGCAGCCGAGGCGUACU